UACGUAGGGGGCAAGCGUUGUCCGGAAUCAUUGGGCGUAAAGAGCGUGUAGGCGGCCAUUUAAGUCCUGCGUGAAAUCCUGCGGCUCAACCGCAGGCGGUCGUGGGAAACUGGAUGGCUAGAGUGCGGGAGAGGAGAGUGGAAUUCCUGGUGUAGCGGUGAAAUGCGCAGAUAUCAGGAGGAACACCGGUGGCGAAGGCGGGUCUCUGGGCCGAUACUGACGCUGAGGAGCGAAAGCGUGGGGAGCGAACAGG
rnacentral:rRNA from 1 species